UCGCCUCUCUGCUCUCUCACCUCACCUUGCCUCUCUCGCCUCUCGUUGAUUUUAAGCUCAAACAGACUCACCUCACCUCGCCUCUCUCGCCGUCGCAGCGCCUCGACUCAGCAGCCCCAAAUCCCUUUUCCGGCUGAUUCUCUUCUUCUCCUCAAGGUUUCAGCAGUCAUUUGCCUGAUUCCUCUUGUUUGAAGUUAAGUUCAAUGUUGACAUGUAUGGGCGAAAAAAUGAUUGUUUAAGUAUUACAUGACCAAUAUCCAGCCGUUGAAACUUGACCAAUAUCCAACGGUGUAGUUUAUGCUCAGGGAGGUCCUAACCCUAGCUAGAAGGGGUACUAUAAAUAAACACAUUUCAUCUCAGUGACAAAACCAAGCUGCCACAGAUCAGAGCGGCAUUUCCUCUCAAGUUUCAAGCCCUUGCAUUUGUUUUGAGUUUUUGAUCAUGGGGUUGUGCACCAUGGGAGACACCACUCAUUGAUAUUAAAAUUGAAGAUUUUAAUGGGAUCGGUAUAAACAGAGCGUAUUGCGUGGGCGUGGCUGAUGGGAAAUGGGAAUGUGUGAGAACCAUUGAUAUCUUGGAUGCCUAUUCUGUAUACUAUGAAGCCUAUAAGGAAGAGAGGAGAUCUUGUUUCUGAUUCUCAACUCUAAGAAUGGAAAACAUCUGUUUACAGAUGAUCUACUUGAAUAUUUUAGGCACUAUGGAAGGGGUUGAAUAUGCUCAUUGAGUAGCUCAGAUCCGUCUGAAUGAGAAGACUGGAUUCUAUUUUCACCGAUUGGUAUGCAAGACUCCGCAUGAUGCUUCCAACAUAUUUAGUCACAUUGCGGCUAUCGGUGGUUAUGAGCCAGACCCUAACGUUGGGGAUCUGCUGUUAAGCAGAUCCUCCAAACCUUCCCGUAUCGUGUGAACUUCGAUUUGGCAGUUGAGGACAAACGGUUACGUGUACCUGUGGCUGUGUGUGUUAGCCGAGCCUCGAGGACUGUGUUGGAUCUCCUCCGUAGUAGUUCUCGUGCCAUCUUUGAUAUCCACGAGGAGGAUGAGGAGGAUGAAGAUCACAAAUUGUGAAUAUUGGAUAGGGACUCAAGAUAGUGAACGGCUGCUACUGCGGUGAAAGGUUAAUAGCUCGUUUCAAUAUGUGUCUAGUCUAGUCUCGUUGUAUAUUUCCAUUCAGUAUGUGAAAUCUUUAAGUGUACUAAAUGGCAAAGUAUGAAUUCAUUCAUAGAAAUUGG